rnacentral:tRNA from 1 species
GAGGUUGUGGCUCAGUGGUAGAGCACUCGCCUAGCAUGUGUGAGGCUAGGUUCGAUCCUCAGGACCACA